UACAGAGGGUGCAAGCGUUAAUCGGAAUUACUGGGCGUAAAGCGUGCGCAGGCGGUUAUGCAAGACAGAUGUGAAAUCCCCGGGCUUAACCUGGGAACCGCAUUUGUGACUGCAUAGCUGGAGUACGGCAGAGGGGGAUGGAAUUCCGCGUGUAGCAGUGAAAUGCGUAGAUAUGCGGAGGAACACCGAUGGCGAAGGCAGUCCCCUGGGCCUGUACUGACGCUCAUGCACGAAAGCGUGGGGAGCAGACAGG
rnacentral:rRNA from 1 species